AGUGACGGAGCUGAGCCUGCCCCUGCAGGUAGCUCAUCCCAGAGCAUUGGCGCUGGCUCCCUUACCGGGAAAUGAAAUGAGAAGUCAGUGCAUGACAUGCUGGUGGUGACAGCUAUAUUCCUUCUGAGUUCAUGUCUCCCUCCUGGGAACAACCCCCGUCUUCUGGUCCGGUGGCCAUCCAGCUGCAGAGUGAGCACUCCACUUCAUGCACUGGGAUCUCAGCUGGAGAGAAGGACAUCAGGGUGACCAUAUCCACCACGGGCCGGGAGCUGCAGGGCAGAAGGCAACCAACUCUCUCCCUCCAACCCAACUGCACGUCCCCCCUCAGAUGUGGGGCUCCCGCCAGCAAAGCCAGAGAACUCUCCUUCCCUAAAGCAGACCUCAACAUGUCACUGUCUCCUCUUAAGGAAAAUAAUAAUGAUACUUUUUAUUUAUUUAUUUUGAGAGAGGGUCUCACCCUGUUGCCCAGGCUGGAGUGCAGUGGCAUGAUAACAGCUCACUACAGCCUCGGCCUCCCAGGCUCUAGUAAUCCUCCCACCUCAGCCUCCCAAGGAUCUGGGACCACAGGCAUGUGCCACCACACCUGGCUAACUUUAAAUAAAUUUUUGUAGAGAAGGGACCUUCCUAUGUUGUCCAGGGUGGUCUUGAACUCCUGAGCUCAAGCAAUCCUCCCGGCUUGGGCUCCCAAAGUGCUGGGAUUAUAGGCAUGAGCCACCAUGCCUGGCCAAUAAUGGUGAUAACUAAUUAGGGCUCCCAGUUCAUUCUAGCAGCCUCUGACCCAUUUUCCAUGAAGAAGAGAAAGCUCUUAGGAAGAGAAAUCAUACUGAGUUACUUUCAUGCUUAUGUUUAAGCCUUCAGUGAUGCUUGCAUGAAUUUUAUUAUGCUUCAUAAUAAAGUUGCAGCUUUUGUUGUU